AAGGAAAUGAGAUCUUGGCCCCUGAGAUCUCUGCCCCUGUGUUCUGGAGCAGAGGCUGGAGAUGCUGUAAGAUCACUCUCCAUCCAGCAGAUGAGACAAAACCUCAGGGUAGUGUAUGUUCCAAUCAGAAGGUGCCAUGUGGUUUUGAAGGAUCCAUUAGGGGAGCUGCCACGGAAUCGAUUCAGCCGCCUGCCAAACAUCUGGUACAACUGGGUCAUCUGGGAUGGGCGAGAAACAUUGUCAUUUACAUCCAAGGGUUUGAUGGCCAGGAGGACUGUGCCGAGAGCCAGGACAAGCUCAUCUUCCAUGGGGUUUCCCCGACUGUGGAGAAGAAGGUCUCACAUGCAUGUGGACACUGGGGAAGUCAGAUGUUUCCUUCAGGGCCACUGGCUGUCAGCGUGGUGCUGCUUUCCAUAAGAUUGACCUCAAGACCCACCAGCGCUGCAUUCCAAGGCCAAUACUAUGCCUUUGCUGAGGCCAAGAGAGAAUCCCCCACGAGCUUUGGUAUAAGCAGCUUCUCUCUGUUCUGCCCUAGAGUUUCCAUUAGGAACCAUCUCAGAUCCAAGUGUCGCCCAUAUGGGAAACGGAAGGGCAGAGGCUGGGGGGUCCUCUCAAAUGGGGAAUGAGGAAGCCUCAGAGGAUAGAGGGGAGGCCUACAGCAUCUGAUCCCUCUCUUCCUUCUACCCACUGGAAAAGAAGAUCCUUUGUUAAUGGAUGAAACCUUAAUAGCCCCAAGGCUGCAGUUAAGCAAGACAUGGGAUGGAGUACAAGGUCUAACAAAAACCCUGCUCACUACUGCUUUCCCCAGACCGAAGGCUAAACCCGUGCAGGAUGGCUUGGUGAAUCAUCUGCUGCCAGCCCCUUCAGAAUGGCCCUCCAUUCUGCUCUCUGCUCUUUACACAUAAUCAGGAGAGAGUGCUGGGAUCCAGAGUUGCCCUUGAAGAGAGGGAUGGAAAUGUGGCUCAGACGUGGGAGGGGGUGACCAAAAGAGAAAGCCUGGACUCCUCACCUGCCCUCUGGGAGAUCAGAUCUCUCCAAGAGGAGCCCCUGGAUUUGGAAAGUGCUCAGGAAGGCAGUAUUGAGCACCAAACCACCCAGAACCCUCCACCUGCUAGCAGCAGCUAGGCCAAACUCUUGGGUUUGAAGAGUGAGAGUGCUGAGCACCAGGCUGCUCUCUGGCUUCGGAACCUCCCCACUGGGCCACAGAUAAUCCCUCAGCAGGCACUGUUGGAGGCCAUACCCUUGUCCCAGCACCAGAGCUCCAGGAAGACCAGGACAUGAGGCAUAAAUUCACGGUGCUUCAUCUCCCUGCUGGGGGACUGAAGAUCACGACCAUUAAUGGCCUUCUCAUCUCAACCUCAGAAAUAAACCUUUCCUCACGGGAGAGAGUGAAUGCCAGUUGAGACCUCACUAAUAUAAAGACACGGCUGCUCACAAAUGUUCCACUGUGAAUCCCUCAGGAGUCCUGAAAUUGGUGGUAGGAUCUCCAUUUUACAGGUGAGGUGACUGAGGUUGAGAAUGAAGAAAGCCAGGCACCCGUGCAGUCUUACAAGGUAUUGUAGCUAAAAGUGGAGUCUGGAGCCACAUACGGGCUCUGCAGCUUUCUAGCUAUGCGACCUUGGGUAACGUCUCAGUCUAGUUUCUGCCAAAUGGAAAUGAUAGUACCUCAUAGGGUUGUGAAGAUUAACCAGUUUAUAGGCAGCAUAUUGAACACAGCAGUACCUUAGCACAGAAUGUGAGCUACAUAUGCUUCAUGUAUUUACUACUACAAUCAUGAUCAAUGUCUGAACUAAGUUUAAGAUACUAUAGGCAAGCAAAACUAACUUCUCUUUCCCUUUCUCCUGUCUCCCAAUGUAGAUGCAACAACAUUUUCCUCACUUCCUGGAAAUGGCUCCGUUCUAGCAUUUCAACAUUAUCCAGGAAGUAAGAUUUCUUUACUGGAGAAUACCAGAUACAUUCCCAAUCUGUUGAUCACAUUUAGAGACCUGAAUUUCCUAAACCCAUCUUAAACUGAUGGCAGAAAGCAGUGAUGAUUAAGUCAGAGCAUCUCAAAGAGUCUGAGUGUUGAAUCUUCCAAAGUGUUCGAAUCUGUGGUAAGGGAAAUGAAGCAAAAGGCUGGAGAAUGGCACAAUCUUGGCUCACCACAACCUCCGCCUUCUGAGUUCAA